rnacentral:rRNA from 1 species
AUGGCGAAAGCGAGGAGGCGUCGCGUGCCGGCGUUCGGGGAGUGGAACUACAACUACCACCACGACGAGCCGCAGGCGACGGCGGCACUUCCGCCGGCCGUUGUUGCACCGGCCGCGUGCUACGCCACGCCUGAGGCGGAGGCCUGCAGCGACGUGUGGUUCAGGUACUCACCGCCCCCGCGCAAUCCCACGGCCACGCCCAAGAAGCAGGCUAGGCGGCGGCCCGAGGGCGACGUGCCCCGGGAGCGUUCCAAGAGCGGCGGCUCCAGGCGGGUGGUGCGGCCGGUCGACGGGGACCUGUACCAGGUGCCACCGCCGAAGCUCGCCUCCCACCGGCGGCCAACCAAGACGGGGGGCCUGUGGAUGGGAUGCCUGGGCCUCAGCUCAUGCGUCCACUGA